rnacentral:RNase_P_RNA from 1 species
AUAGGGCAGGGUGCCAGGUAACGCCUGGGGGGGAAACCCACGACCAGUGCAACAGAGAGCAAACCGCCGAUGGCCCGCGCAAGCGGGAUCAGGUAAGGGUGAAAGGGUGCGGUAAGAGCGCACCGCGCGGCUGGUAACAGUCCGUGGCACGGUAAACUCCACCCGGAGCAAGGCCAAAUAGGGGUUCAUAAGGUACGGCCCGUACUGAACCCGGGUAGGCUGCUUGAGCCAGUGAGCGAUUGCUGGCCUAGAUGAAUGACUGUCCACGACAGAACCCGGCUUAUCGGUCAGUUUCACCU